ensembl:lncRNA
UCUAAUCAAUCAGAUUUGAUUUUCACAGGGCAGAUGGUGAAUUGCAUUAAGCAUGCAACCACCCAAAGGGCCAUAAGUGACACAUGCCAGCAACCUCUCAGAACCUUAGCAACCAGUAAGGCACAGAGCUGCUGUUUGGACUCUCAUUCUGACGGCACCCAUUCACUGCAGAGGAUCCAUUGGUGAGCUAGUGAUGCAAAGCUGAAUUUCUCCAAAUCUGUUCCCAUGAGGAAACAAACUUAUCUAUAUGUCCAAAGGGUGAGAAAAUGUAUUUAUUUAUUUUUUUUUUUUUGGUUGAACUAUUCCUUUAAAGAUUGGAUGGAUUGAUAGAGUCAGGAUUUUUCAAUAGAAUUCUACAAAUUAUUUUAGAAGAUAUUUGUUCAUCUACAACAGGGAAACUGUUCAGUCAGUUGGAAAAGACAUAGCACACUAAGUUGGAACAGACUGAAAGUUUGCCAAACCAAGAUAAAAGCCAUUGCUUGUCAAAAUGCAUUAGAAUAAGGAUUGAAAGUGACUAUUUGCAGUGUUUAUUUAUAAAAGAGUUUGUUUAAUGACAUUUUACCAUCUGUUAUUUAUAGUCUCUAAUUAAUGAUUCAUUCCUGGCAUUUUUAAUACAAACAAACCGCAAAUGGUCAUUCAUAAAAUAUUAUAAAGCAAUGUAAGCUUAUAUUAGCAUGAACAAGCACAUGCUGUUGAUGGAGGUUUGAAGAUGUGCAGGUGCAGUAAAACGGCUCUUAUGACCUGCACCUGCACCUCAACCCUCUACAGGUGCUGAUGGAUGGGCGCAAGAAUAAUACAUUCACACAAAUGAAAAGCUCUCUACUGUACUUCAAAACCUUUAAUUAUGACUAUUGAGUAAAGAGUUGACUUUUACACCCUAUUAAACAGGAGAAAGUAAUUUAAUGCACACUAUUAAUACUAAAACUACAAAUGCUUUACAGCUUGAUACUUUUUAAGCACCAAAAAAAAAAAAAAAAAAACUUUAUUCUCUUGUUUUCAGAAUGUUUAUAUUCUGGUCUUUCAAAGAGCUCAGAAGCCAAAACACUUAAACGAAGAACCUAUAAUGAAACAUCGACGUUUUAAAGUCUACACCUAACCUACUAUACAGCAAAGCCAUUAAAGUACUUUUAUUUUUAAGAUAUGCAACCAACAGGAGACAAAACAGAAAAAAAUUUGCUUACUCAGU